UACGUAGGGUGCAAGCGUUGUCCGGAAUUAUUGGGCGUAAAGAGCUCGUAGGCGGUCUGUCGCGUCUGCUGUGAAAUCUCAGGGCUUAACCCUGAGCUUGCAGUGGGUACGGGCAGACUAGAGUGCGGUAGGGGAGACUGGAAUUCCUGGUGUAGCGGUGAAAUGCGCAGAUAUCAGGAGGAACACCGGUGGCGAAGGCGGGUCUCUGGGCCGAAACUGACGCUGAGGAGCGAAAGCGUGGGGAGCAAACAGG
rnacentral:rRNA from 1 species